rnacentral:misc_RNA from 1 species
CAAAAAUGGUGUUUACAAUAUCAUCAAACCCUGUUCAGUUUACACAUACUACUUCUUUAAAUGCUCGACCCAAUUGUUAUCUCAAAGCUUCUGUUCCAGUUUCAAAUUUAUCGUUUUCUUUCUUCAGACAUGAAUACAUCAGGUUUUCCGUAAAAUCUCGACUGAAUAAAAGGAUGGUCUGCGCUGCUGCUUCAGCUGCUGGAAGUUCUAGUUCUAGCGAUGACUCAAAUCCUUAUGAGGUUCUGGGUGUAAACCCUAUUGAGGGAUUUGACAUGGUUAAGGCAGCAUAUGCAAGGAGAAGGAAAGAUGCUGAGCGGAGGGGUGAUGAAGCAACGCUUGCUCAGUUGGAGAAGGCUUAUGACAAAAUCAUGAUGUCACAGUUAACAAAAAGGAAGCAGGGUGUCACCUUUGGCUCUUUUAAGGUAUCUAAAGAGGUACGAUAUGCUGAUAAGCAGCCUAUUGUGCCAUGGGGUCCACGGUUCACCAAAUCUGAUGACAAAGAUAUCAAAAUCAACUUGGCAAUUUCAGCUGUAUUUAUAGCUUGGGUUUUUAUAAAUCGUAAUGCUGAGUGGAAGCCUUUACAGUUUUUGGCCUUCGCCUUUGUAUAUAGGAUAUUUGAGAAAUUAAAAGCAUUUGAGCCUCCAACUCCCACGUUUACAGAGGAAGGCGAAGAUGAAGGACGGAUGAUGAGGAUGGGAAAAAGGCUGCUUCGUUCUCUUGCAUUAGUCUUUGGUUGCAUAGCUAUUGCAUCUUUGGGAUAUACUGGUCUCCUCAAUUUUAUCGAGUAUACUGGUGGUUUCAUACCUGUCUUUCUGUACAAUAAUCAGGAAUUGCUUGUAACUGGAUUCACAGCCAUCGUGCUUUCCAUCAUCGCAUCUUAUUACAGAUAGUCUACCUUCUACACUUGUUGAAGAAGAGAUGCAGUUGCCUUGUGUUAGCUGUCAAAUUUUGUAAUUCUAUUUGUUCCAGAAAUUUGCCUUGUUUUGUCUAUAGGAUUUGAUUGAGCAGCACUUGUAAGGAUGCACCAAGUUCUGAGGAUUCUAGGAUUAAACAAGACCACAAUCUUUUCAAAAUUGAUGGAUGUUAAUGUGGAGAUAUAAAUGAUAAUGAGGAGGAAAGGUUAGGGCGG